rnacentral:rRNA from 1 species
CGAAAGCCUGACGGAGCAAGACCGCGUGAGGGAGGAAGGCCCUUGGGCUGUCAACCACUUUUCUCAGGGAAGAAGUCCUGACGGUACCUGAGGAAUCAGCCUCGGCUAACUCCGUGCCAGCAGCCGCGGUAAUACGGAGGAGGCAAGCGUUAUCCGGAAUUAUUGGGCGUAAAGCGUCCGCAGGUGGCGAUUCAAGUCUGCUGUCAAAGCACGGGGCUUAACUCCGUUAAGGCAGUGGAAACUAAAUGGCUAGAGUGCCGUAGGGGUAGAGGGAAUUCCCGGUGUAGCGGUGAAAUGCGUAGAGAUCGGGAAGAACAUCGGUGGCGAAAGCGCUCUACUUGACGGCAACUGACACUCAGGGACGAAAGCUAAGGUAGCG